GGCAGGUUAGCUCAGUCAGUUAGAGCAUGGUGCUGAUAACACCAAGGUCACGGGUUCGAUCCCCAUUCAUUCCC
rnacentral:tRNA from 1 species